AGAAACUACGCUUUACGCUUGAGGGGGGGUGAAUAGCGUAUUAAUAGAAUUUAGCGUUUUCUUGCGGAAUUUAAACUUUGCAGGAAGUAAAAUAAAUGCACAAAAAUAAACUUACACAAAGAUGUAUACUGGUUGGCCACCAACGUGGUUAGUCCAGUCCCCGAGAGACUCUCUCGAGAUUUUUCACUAUCUUGUUAAGCU
rnacentral:lncRNA from 1 species